AGAGUUUGAUCAUGGCUCAGGACGAACGCUGGCGGCGUGCUUAACACAUGCAAGUCGAACGGUAAGGCCCUUCGGGGUACACGAGUGGCGAACGGGUGAGUAACACGUGGGUAAUCUGCCCUGCACAUCGGGAUAAGCCUGGGAAACUGGGUCUAAUACCGAAUAGGACCACAGAACACAUGUCCUGUGGUGGAAAGCUUUUGCGGUGUGGGAUGGGCCCGCGGCCUAUCAGCUUGUUGGUGGGGUGAUGGCCCACCAAGGCGACGACGGGUAGCCGGCCUGAGAGGGUGUCCGGCCACACUGGGACUGAGAUACGGCCCAGACUCCUACGGGAGGCAGCAGUGGGGAAUAUUGCACAAUGGGCGAAAGCCUGAUGCAGCGACGCCGCGUGGGGGAUGACGGCCUUCGGGUUGUAAACCUCUUUCACCAUCGACGAAGGUUCGGGUUUUCUCGGAUUGACGGUAGGUGGAGAAGAAGCACCGGCCAACUACGUGCCAGCAGCCGCGGUAAUACGUAGGGUGCGAGCGUUGUCCGGAAUUACUGGGCGUAAAGAGCUCGUAGGUGGUUUGUCGCGUUGUUCGUGAAAUCUCACGGCUUAACUGUGAGCGUGCGGGCGAUACGGGCAGACUUGAGUACUGCAGGGGAGACUGGAAUUCCUGGUGUAGCGGUGGAAUGCGCAGAUAUCAGGAGGAACACCGGUGGCGAAGGCGGGUCUCUGGGCAGUAACUGACGCUGAGGAGCGAAAGCGUGGGGAGCGAACAGGAUUAGAUACCCUGGUAGUCCAA
rnacentral:rRNA from 1 species